UUUGUGCCUCCGUGAACCUCCGUCAAGCCAACUGCUCCUGAUUCCUUAAGAGGUAAAAGCGAGCUUUGGGAUUGACAGCAAUGGCGACGAAACCACUUGUUGGCUCUCCACCCUCGGCCUCUCCAGCUGCUCAAAGCACCCCCAACCCUGGCCUUCCAACCGGUGUAGCUGCUCAAGGCACCCCCACCCCUGGCACUUCUAGUGGUAGUGGUGGUGCUGGUGGUGCUGCUCAAGUCCCCGACGGUGGCCCUAAGAGUGGCAGCCACAAUUCAAUUGAGUCACCUCCCGUGUUUAAUAAAGGAUAAGUUCUUGUUCUGCUUCGGAUCUCCGACCUAGUCUUGUCCAAGUUUCAAACCGUAAUAUGUUUGUUCCCAGUUCGGUCAAGGGUUCAACUGCCCUAUUGUUCGUUAAGCCUGGAGUUUGAUAACCACAGCCUUGGUUCUUAUAAGUGAUGUUGUUUUAAGUAUGGAUAUAUAGCUUGAACACAUGCAUCGGAUCAAUAGUAUCUAUGGGGUCUAAACCAGUGUAAUUCAAAUGUAUGUCACGCAUCUGAUGCAUGCCAUUAUUCGAGUUGUAUGUUGAGGUUAAACAUGAGAUGUGUGUGGCAAGUUCAACCACAGAAUAUAUAUUGAGGUGAAAACUAGAUAUAUGUGUUGCA